ACGGGUGCGUAACGCGUAGGAACGUGUCUUGAGGUGGGGGACAACCCUGGGAAACUGGGGCUAAUACCGCAUAUGUCCUGAGGGACAAAGCAGCGAUGCGCCUUGAGAGCGGCCUGCGUCCGAUUAGGUUGUUGGUGGGGUAAUGGCCUACCAAGCCUGCGAUCGGUAGCUAGUCUGAGAGGAUGAUCAGCCACACUGGGACUGAGACACGGCCCAGACUCCUACGGGAGGCAGCAGUGGGGAAUAUUGGACAAUGGGCGCAAGCCUGAUCCAGCAAUGCCGCGUGGGUGAAGAAGGUCUUCGGAUCGUAAAGCCCUUUCGACAGGGACGAUGAUGACGGUACCUGUAGAAGAAGCCCCGGCUAACUUCGUGCCAGCAGCCGCGGUAAUACGAAGGGGGCUAGCGUUGCUCGGAAUUACUGGGCGUAAAGGGCGCGUAGGCGGCUUGGCCAGUCAGGCGUGAAACUCCUGGGCUUAACCUGGGGACUGCGCUUGAUACUGCUAGGCUUGAGGCCGAGAGAGGGUGGUGGAAUUCCCAGUGUAGAGGUGAAAUUCGUAGA
rnacentral:rRNA from 1 species